GAUGAACGCUGGCGGCGUGCCUAAUACAUGCAAGUAGAACGCUGAAGCAGUAGGUUGCUUCUCUUGAGGAUUUGCGGACGCGGGAGGAAGGCGUAUGUAUCGGACUCGACUGCGGCGGGGAACUAUUCGAAGCGAUACUUACUCUCGCAUAAUAUAAGAUGUACCAGGAAAUUCACUGGAAAGUUGCAAUUUCCUCGCUACAAUGAGGAGAUGCGUUGUAUUAGCUAGUUGGUGAGGUAACGGCACACAAAGGAGAGGAUACAUAGCCGAACUGAGAGGGUGAUCGGCCAAACUGGGACGUAGACACGGCCCAGACUCCUACGGGAGGCAGCAGUAGGGAAACUUCGGCAAUAGACGGAAGUCUGACCGAGCAAAGCCGGGUGAGUGAAGAAGGUUUUCGGAUCGUAAAGCUCUGUUGUAAGAGAAGAACGAGUGUGAGAGUGGAAAGUUCACACUGUGACGGUAUCUUACCAGAAAGGGACGGCUAACUACGUG
rnacentral:rRNA from 1 species